rnacentral:rRNA from 1 species
UGAGGAAUAUUGGACAAUGGGCGCAAGCCUGAUCCAGCCAUGCCGCGUGCAGGAUGACGGUCCUAUGGAUUGUAAACUGCUUUUGUACAGGAAGAAACAGUUCUACGUGUAGAACCUUGACGGUACUGUAAGAAUAAGGAUCGGCUAACUCCGUGCCAGCAGCCGCGGUAAUACGGAGGAUCCAAGCGUUAUCCGGAAUCAUUGGGUUUAAAGGGUCCGUAGGCGGUUAGAUAAGUCAGUGGUGAAAGCCCAUCGCUCAACGGUGGAACGGCCAUUGAUACUGUCUGACUUGAAUUAUUAGGAAGUAACUAGAAUAUGUAGUGUAGCGGUGAAAUGCUUAGAGAUUACAUGGAAUACCAAUUGCGAAGGCAGGUUACUACUAAUGGAUUGACGCUGAUGGACGAAAGCGUGGGUAGCGAACAGGAUUAGAUACCCCCGUAGUCC